GACGAACGCUGGCGGCGUGCCUAACACAUGCAAGUCGAACGAAAGGUCCGGGUCUUGGGGCGCACGAGGGCGUAACCGGUGGGGAGAUGAACAUGGGGUCAGCAUAACUCCCAGACAGGGGUGCUAAUACCGGAUAGUGUCUUCGGACCAAUGAUUUAUCGCACUUGGAUGUGCACGCGUGGGAUUAGCUCGUUGGUAUGGUAAAAGCCUACCAAGGCGAGGAUUAAUAGCUGGUUAGUGAGAAUGAUCAGCAACACUGAGACUGAGACGCGGCCGCGACUCUUACGGGAGGCAGCAGUGGGGAAUAGUGCACCAUCGGCGGAGUCCUGAGCCAGCACUGCCGCGUGAGUUAUGAAGGUCUUAAGGUUGAAAAGCGCAUUUAGCCGGGAUGAUAAUGACAGUACCGGGAGAAUAAGCUCCGGCUAACUCCGUG
rnacentral:rRNA from 1 species